UCCUACGGGAGGCAGCAGUGGGGAAUUUUCCGCAAUGGGCGAAAGCCUGACGGAGCAAUACCGCGUGAGGGAAGACUGCCUAUGGGUUGUAAACCUCUUUUUUCAGGGAGGAACAAAAUGACGUGUACCUGAAGAAUAAGCAUCGGCUAACUCCGUGCCAGCAGCCGCGGUAAGACGGAGGAUGCAAGUGUUAUCCGGAAUUACUGGGCGUAAAGCGUCUGUAGGUGGUUUAGUAAGUCAACUGUUAAAUCUUGAGGCUCAACUUCAAAUCAGCAGUCGAAACUAUUAGACUAGAGUAUAGUAGGGGUAAAGGGAAUUUCCAGUGGAGCGGUGAAAUGCGUAGAUAUUGGAAAGAACACCGAUGGCGAAAGCACUUUACUGGGCUAUUACUAACACUCAGAGACGAAAGCUAGGGUAGCAAAUGGGAUUAGAUACCCCAGUAGUCCUAGCUGUAAACAAUGGAUACUAGAUGUUGAACAGAUCGACCUGUGCAGUAUUAAAGCUAACGCGUUAAGUAUCCCGCCUGGGAAGUAUGCUCGCAAGAGUGAAACUCAAAGGAAUUGACGGA
rnacentral:rRNA from 1 species